ACUCGAAAACCCUUCUUCAAGGUAAUAAAAUCAACAAAACAAACACAAACAAUUUCAAAACCACGAACUACGGACGCUCUGAUUUCUCACUUCAACAAGUGGGCAUACGUAGGCACGAGGAUCCAUUCCUUGGCGAGCACACUAAUUUAAAAUCUACCUCCACUCCGCAAACCUUUGGCAAGCAAACAUUCGAUAAACAAUACACACGUAAGCGCAAACAUCCUAGAUGGUUCCCAUGGAGUACCAUGGAUGUGAGGGGUGCUAAUACCUUCCCCUUGCAUAACCGACUUCCGAACCUGUUCGUGGUUGCGACGACCAUAUUUUGG
rnacentral:lncRNA from 1 species